rnacentral:rRNA from 1 species
GAUGAACGCUAGCUACAGGCUUAACACAUGCAAGUCGAGGGGCAGCAUGAACUUAGCUUGCUAAGUUUGAUGGCGACCGGCGCACGGGUGAGUAACACGUAUCCAACCUGCCGAUGACUCGGGGAUAGCCUUUCGAAAGAAAGAUUAAUACCCGAUGGCAUAGUUCUUCCGCAUGGUAGAACUAUUAAAGAAUUUCGGUCAUCGAUGGGGAUGCGUUCCAUUAGGUUGUUGGCGGGGUAACGGCCCACCAAGCCUUCGAUGGAUAGGGGUUCUGAGAGGAAGGUCCCCCACAUUGGAACUGAGACACGGUCCAAACUCCUACGGGAGGCAGCAGUGAGGAAUAUUGGUCAAUGGACGAGAGUCUGAACCAGCCAAGUAGCGUGAAGGAUGACUGCCCUAUGGGUUGUAAACUUCUUUUAUACGGGAAUAAAGUGAGGCACGUGUGCCUUUUUGUAUGUACCGUAUGAAUAAGGAUCGGCUAACUCCGUGCCAGCAGCCGCGGUAAUACGGAGGAUCCGAGCGUUAUCCGGAUUUAUUGGGUUUAAAGGGAGCGUAGGCGGACGCUUAAGUCAGUUGUGAAAGUUUGCGGCUCAACCGUAAAAUUGCAGUUGAUACUGGGUGUCUUGAGUACAGUAGAGGCAGGCGGAAUUCGUGGUGUAGCGGUGAAAUGCUUAGAUAUCACGAAGAACUCCGAUUGCGAAGGCAGCCUGCUGGACUGUAACUGACGCUGAUGCUCGAAAGUGUGGGUAUCAAACAGGAUUAGAUACCCUGGUAGUCCACACAGUAAACGAUAAAUGCUCGCUGUUUGCGAUAUACAGUAAGCGGCCAAGCGAAAGCGUUAAGUAUUCCACCUGGGGAGUACGCCGGCAACGGUGAAACUCAAAGGAAUUGACGGGGGCCCGCACAAGCGGAGGAACAUGUGGUUUAAUUCGAUGAUACGCGAAAA